UACGAAGGGGGCUAGCGUUGCUCGGAAUUACUAGGCGUAAAGGGAGCGUAGGCGGACAGUUUAGUCAGAGGUGAAAGCCCAGGGCUCAACCCUGGAAUUGCCUUUGAUACUGAUUGUCUUGAGUAUGGGAGAGGUGAGUGGAACUCCGAGUGUAGAGGUGAAAUUCGUAGAUAUUCGGAAGAACACCAGUGGCGAAGGCGACUCACUGGCCCAUUACUGACGCUGAGGCUCGAAAGCGUGGGGAGCAAACAGG
rnacentral:rRNA from 1 species